UAGAAAGAAAGUUCUGUGACACUUUGACUCUGAUUAUAAUAGAAGUCAGUGCACUACAGAACUUUCUCUUCAG
rfam:Ophiophagus hannah scaffold2565.1, whole genome shotgun sequence.